CUGCAGCCUGUGGCCUACAGCCUCUCCAUGCCUCCUUUACCAUCUACGUGGGAAGCCCGCCCAAGUGCUGGGCGCUCCCUCUCCCCCUCAUCUGCACCCAUGGAGCCCUGAGUUGUCUCACAGCUGGUACCUUUAAAAGCUUUUGUUGCAGAGCAGACGAAAGAGAGCAAUGGAACAAACCAUUGCUUCCCAGUGGCGGUAGUGGUAAAGAAACCGCCUGCCAAUACAGGAGAUGUAAGAGAUUUGAUCAGGUUUGAUCUCUGGGUUGAGAAAAGCCUCUGCAGCGGGGCACGGCAAUCCACUCCAGUAUUCUUGCCUGCAGAAUCCCAUGGACAGAGGAGCCUGGCGGGCUACCGCCCGUAGGGGUCGCAAAGAAUCAGCCACGACUGAGCAACUACGCAUGCGUGAUCUCAGAAACUUGGUUUCCUGGAAACUGCUGCUUUUCUAAGAGGCCGCGGUGGUGCGGUGCGGUGCACGGGAGGGAGGAGAAAGCAAAUAGCAGUACCAAGUCCAUUUGCUGAUCUGGCCUAGUUAGAGCUGAGAGUCGGAGAGGAGAGAGCUCGGGUUCCUUCAAAAGGCAAAGGGUUCUCUGUCUGCGGGUUUAACGGCCAUAGGGUCUGCGGUGUGGCCUGCUGCGCUAGUAGUGGUCGCUGGGAUGGCCUUGUACGCCUGGAAGAAGAGCACUGAAAGACCAUGCCCUAAGAGGUCCUAGGUGGACAUCAGGUAAAAAUGAACAAGAACCCUAAAAUGUAUUGAAAGGAAUCCUCUCCCAGUCCCCUGCAGACUGGAGAGUCCACCUUCCUGGGGUCAGGAAUUCUUUGAAGCAACAUUUUAUCUUUGGGGUUUGAACAAAAUCAACUUGUGGGCAAAAAAAUAAAUUCAUUGAAUGUGCCUGACUCUAUUACAGAACUGGUGUCUGAAUCACAGGAUUCAGGGUCCUUGGAGGCCCAGCUCUAACCUGAGCAGCCCUGAACCAUCCCCACCCCAACCAGGCUCCUGACCCUUCUCCAGGGCUGCCUGGCCCGGGCCACCUCUCAGCCCAUGGGGAGCCUUUUGGGGCCUCUGUGCUCUGAAGCCCUGACAAGGGAAAAGCACCCGCUUUUCCUCUCCUGCACUCACAGUCACACACCAACACUUCUCACACCAGAUACGUGGGAUUUAUCACACCUGCCAGUUUUCCGAUUUACUGUGGACAGCAACUGAGAUGUUUAUGACAACUAUGCUUUGAUUUAUUUUACUGACGUAGAGUUGAUUUGCAAUGCUGUGUUAAUUCCUGCUGUUGUACAGCAAAGUGAUUCAGUUAUACGCAUAUAUAUAUAUAUAUAUACUCUUUUCAUAUUCUUUCCUGUUAUGAUUUAUUACAGGAUAUUAAAUAUAGUUCCCUGUGCUAUACAACAGGACCUUGUUGUUUAUCCAAUUUAUACAUAAUAAUUUGCAUCUGCUAAUCCCAAACUCCCACAUUUAUUAUUUUUUCUUUUCUUUUUCUUUUUAUCUGCAUGCUGGAUCCUAGUUCCCGGAACAGAGAUCAAUCAAACCUGUGCCCCCUGCAAUGGAAUCAUGAACUCCUAAACACCACAGGGAAUUCUCUGUUUUUUUAAAAAAAAUUUUUUAACUGAGAUUUAAUUCACAUGUCAUAAUAUUCACCAUUUUUUAUUUAAACAAAAAAAUUUUUGGCCACACAGCUUGCAGGAUCUCAGUUCCGCCACCAGGGAUGGAAUUCCCCUCCCACCACCACAUCCCUGCAGGGUUGUGAAAGCCCUGAAUCCUAACCACUAGACCAACAGGGAAUUCCCAGUAUUCACCAUUUUAGAGUGUACAGCUUUGUGGCUUUUAUUAAUAGUAUAUUUACAACCAUCACCAUUAUCUAAUCACAGAACGCCAUCAUAACCACCAAAGAAACCCAGUCCCCUUUCAGUGGUCACUCCUCAUUUCCCCCCAAAUCUCUCAGCCCCAGCCAUUGCUAGUCUACUUUCUGUGUCUAUGGAUUUGCCUUUUCUCUGCGUUUCACAUAAAUGGAACACGCAGUAUUUGUCAUUUACUGUCUGGCUUCUUUCACCCAGCAGUGAGGUCUCCCAGGUUCCUCCACGGUGUACAGGAAUCUGUAUUUGGUCCCUUAUUAUGGUGGCUCAGACAGUAAAGAAUCUGCGAGACAUGCGGGAGACCCGGGUUCCACCCCUGGGUCGCGAAGAUCCCCUGGAGAGGGAAAUGGCAACCCACUCCAGUAUUGUUGCCUGGAGAAUUCCAUAGACAGAGGAGCCCAGCAGGCUACAAGUCCAUAGGGUCACAAAGAGUCGGACACCACUGAAGCGACUUAGCACAGACACAACACAUGGCCGAGUAACGCUGCAUUGAGGGAUAGCCAGCAUUUAUUUAUCCACAUAUCAGUGGAUGGACAUCUGAGUCACGUCAUAUUUGUUUAACUGUUAUAAAUAAUUCAAAAAGCCUGAGGCUAAAUCCGGAUCACCUCAGGAUAGGCCAAGGAGUGAAACUGGCCAUGAAACAACUAUGUCAGAGGAUAAACAGGAAGUCUUCUAGUUAUUCAGUAAUGAGGUGGGGGGAACAGGAGACCAGAGAAACCAAAUAGCCCUUCUGUGUGCAUGACCUCUGUGCUUGUCCCAGGAGAGGUCCCAUGGGGGUCCCAUGCUGUCCCAUGGAGAGCAGACCCACGUUUCCCACCCGUGACACUGCAGCUGAUGCUCCUGGUGGCAAGGAAGGGGCGCGUGGGGGUGCCGUCUGAGCCAGCCGACCUCGGAGGCCCAUCCAGGUCCUUUGAGGCCCGGGCACCGGCUCUAACUUGUCUUCUGCAGGGGUUGGGGGAGGGUGGUGAUUCAUCCAGGAAGGAUCUCUGACAACCUGACAGAUGGCUGGCUAUCUGAAGAAUACAGGCGAUAACCUUCACUCCAAAGUCCUCCGACAUAAAGCUCAAUGCUAAUUGCAGGCCCCUCUUCCGUCUCCUUCCUCUCUUUCUUUUUUUCUUUCCUCCCUCCCUUCUUUCUUUCUUCCUUUCACAACACUUAUUUUUUACAAAAGCAAUGUCCUUGAAGUACAGUUGACACAGAAUAAAAUUUUCCUUUUGGAAAUAUACAUUAGUCACUAUUAGACAUGUAUUUGUUGAAUAAAUAAAUCCCAGGGGACUUCCCUGGUGGUCCAGUGGUUAAGAUUCCCAGCUUCCACUGCAGGGAGCAUGGACUUGAUCUGUGGUCAGGGAAUUAAGAUCCCACAUGCCAAAUAAAACUAUUUGAUAGGGGCAAUGAGAAAUUCAAUUUUCAAUCGAUUAAAAUUAUAGACAGGUCCGUAAGCAUUAUCAGGGUUUUGAAACAAUUUGGCAAUAUAUUUUAAAAAUAAAUAAAUUCCAAAACAGAGAAUCGAGCGGAAAGGGAGAAAUAAUCAAACCAUUAGAAACAAGUCAAAGCAAAUGCUAUGAAUUGAAUUGUGUCCCCACUCCCCACACAAAGAAGUUCAAGUCCUAAUCCCCAGUGCUUGUGAACAUGACCUUGUUUAGAAAUAAGGAGUUUGCCAUUAAGUCCUUAAGAUGAUCGUGUUAAGAUGAAGUUGCUAGGGUGGACCCAAUUCAAAUGACUUAUGUCCUUAUGAAGAGGGGAGAUAUGGACACAGAAAGGCACACGGGAGGACGCUCUGUGACGGUGACAACAGAGAUCGGGCUGACGCGUCUAGAAGCCAAGGAGGGAGGCCUGGAACAGACUCUCCCUCCCAGCCCUGAGAUGGUCGAUGGCACCACCCGCGUUUGAGCAUACUCCGGGAGACAGUGAAGGACGGGGAGCCUGGCGUGCUGCAGUCCACAGGGUCGCAAAGAGUCGGACACGACUGAACAACUGAACAACAACUCAGCCCUCAGAAGGAACCCACCCCGUCCACACCUUGACCUCAAAUUUCUGGCUUCCAGAGCUAUCAGAUGAGAAGUUUCUGUUGUUUCAGCCACUCCAUUUGUGAUCCUUUGUUCCGUACCACUGACACACUAAUACUAAUAUGGGAAGAAUUUGCUUAGGAUUAUUUUAUUUAUUUUUUAAAAAUUUUAUUUAUUGAUCUAUUUUUGGUUGUGCUGGGUCUUCGUUGUUGCAUCCAGGCUUUGUCUAGUUGGGAUGCGAGGGGUCCACUUUUCAUUGCGGCGCAAGGGCUUCUCAUUGUGGUAGCUUCUCUUGUGGAGCACAGGUUCUAGGCACAUGGGCUUCGGUAGUUGCAGCAUGUAGGCGCUAGGGUGCUCGGGCUUCAGUAAUUGUGGUACACGGGCUUUAGUUGCACAGGGCAUGUGGAAUCUUCCUGGACCAGGGGUCAAACCCAUGUCUCUUGCACUGGCAGGCGGUUCUUAGCCACUAUACCACCGGGGAAGGCCAGGAUGAUUUUUUAAAAAUCAAGAAACUCAAAUUGGAAAAGACCAUUAGAUUUAGCUGAAUAUGGAAUUCCCUGGUGGUGCAGUAGUUGCCCUGCUUGUACUGUCAAGGGCCCUGGUUUGAUUCCUGGUUGGGGACCAAGAUCUCACAAGUGUGUAAGGCGUGGCCAAUAAAUAAGUAAAUAUUCAGAUGUGUAGAUGCAUACACCAAUUUUCCCAACCACCUCCCCCACCAGAUGCAAAUGAUAAUGUUUCCAUCAAAUGUGGAUUGCUAGGGUUAACUGAAUUCAGUAAGGUUUCUUAAAUCAGUAAGGAAAAGAUGAACAAGUUCAUAGAAAAAUGAACAGCGCAGCAGGUCUCAAAGUGUAUUCUGGUGGCCUCUAGGGGUUCCCAAAGCCCUUUCAGGAGGCCCAUGAAUAUUUCAUAGUAUUAAUAAUACUGAGGCAAUUGUGGCCUUUUUCACUGUGAUGAGUUUGCACCAAUGAUGCGAAAGCAAUGAUGGUUCUUAGUGUGAAUCAAGGCAGUGACACCAAACUGACAGAAUUUGUUACCAAUAAUAAAGUUCUAAGGCUUUUGGCAAAAAGUACAAUUUUGGAGAUUGUAUCUGCCACCUUAAGCUUCACAACUUCCCAAUAUUGCCAGAGAGUUGCAAUAUUCAUGAAUGUUAUACUUUUUUUUUUCAUAUUGUGUAAUAGGAUGUGUCAACGGUCGCAAGAUCUACUCAGUGAACAAAUAUGUUUGGAAACACCAACAUGUGAUUUACAAAAUCACAUGUGAAUAAAAGAUCCUUUCAAAGCGCAAGAUAGAUCCAUGGGUUCUCAUGUAAUAGAGUACAAAAAGCACACAGAUAUCAGCUGAGAUUCCACGUUGCAGCUAACCUUCAAAAAACCACCACAUUCUGAGUGUCGGUGUAGUAUCAAAGAAGAAUAGCCGCAAUUAUCUGAAAAGGCUCUAAAAAGACUACUUUCUUUUCAAAGUUUUUUUUUAAUCUGAGGCUAAAUUUUCUUCAUGCACUUCAAUCAAAUCAAUGUAUUUUUAUAGAGUGAAGGCAGACACAGAUAUGAGAAGCCAGCUGUCUUUUCUCAAAUGUGAUAUUAAACAGAUUGUUUUUUGGGCCAUGCCACAAAUCAUGUGGGGUCUUAUUUCCCCAACCAAGGGUAGAACCGAUGCCCCCUGCAGUGGGAGUCCUGAAUC
ensembl:lncRNA